CGGUGUCGUCGCAAACGCAAUAAGUAUUCCACCUGGGGAGUACGUUCGCAAGAAUGAAACUCAAGGGAAUUGACGGGGACCCGCACAAGCGGUGGAGCAUGUGGUUUAAUUCGAAGCAACGCGAAGAACCUUACCUGCUCUUGACAUCCCAUUCGAUAGAGGGUAAUGCUUCUAGCCCUUCGGGGGAAUGGAGACAGGUGGUGCAUGGUUGUCGUCAGCUCGUGUCGUGAGAUGUUGGGUUAAGUCCCGCAACGAGCGCAACCCUUAUUGUCAGUAGCCAGCAGUUAGGCUGGGCACUCUGAUGAGACUGCCGGGGAUAACCCGGAGGAGGGUGGGGAUGACGUCAAAUCAUCAUGCCCCUUAUGAGCAGGGCUACACACGUGCUACAAUGGCGUAAACAGAGGGAAGCGAAGGAGUGAUCCGGAGCAAAUCCCAAAAAUAACGUCUCAGUUCGGAUUGUAGUCUGCAACUCGACUACAUGAAGCUGGAAUCGCUAGUAAUCGCAGAUCAGAAUGCUGCGGUGAAUACGUUCCCGGGUCUUGUACACACCGCCCGUCACACCAUGGGAGUCGGUAAUGCCCGAAGUCAGUGACUCAACCGAAAGGAGAG
rnacentral:rRNA from 1 species